rnacentral:rRNA from 1 species
CGCGUGGGAAUCUACCUGGUAGCGGGGGACAACAGUCGGAAACGACUGCUAAUACCGCAUACGCCCUUCGGGGGAAAGUGGGGGAUCUUCGGACCUCACGCUAUCAGAUGAGCCCGCGUCGGAUUAGCUUGUUGGUGAGGUAAAGGCUCACCAAGGCGAUGAUCCGUAGCUGGUCUGAGAGGAUGACCAGCCACACUGGGACUGAGACACGGCCCAGACUCCUACGGGAGGCAGCAGUGGGGAAUAUUGGACAAUGGGGGCAACCCUGAUCCAGCCAUGCCGCGUGUGUGAAGAAGGCCUUCGGGUUGUAAAGCACUUUCAGCUGUGAGGAAAGGUGAGUGGUUAAUACCCGCUUGCUGUGACGUUAACAGCAGAAGAAGGACCGGCUAACUCCGUG